UACAGAGGGGGCAAGCGUUAUUCGGAAUUAUUGGGCGUAAAGGGCGCGUAGGCGGCUUGGCAAGUGGAUGGUGAAAUCCCUCGGCUUAACCGAGGAACUGCCGUCCAAACUGCUUUGCUUGAGACCGGGAGAGGUGAGUGGAAUUCCCAGUGUAGCGGUGAAAUGCGUAGAUAUUGGGAGGAACACCAGUGGCGAAGGCGGCUUCCUGGCCUGUUCUUGACGCUGAGGCGCGAAAGCUAGGGGAGCAAACGGG
rnacentral:rRNA from 1 species